GACGAACGCUGGCGGCGUGCUUAACACAUGCAAGUCGAACGGAAAGGCCUGCUUUCCCUUGUGGAUUGCGGGUACUCGAGUGGCGAACGGGUGAGUAACACGUGAGUGAUCUGCCCCCAACUUGGGUAUAAGCCUGGGAAACUGGGUCUAAUUCCCGAUAGGACUGCAGGGUGGUGCCUGUGGUGGAAAACGAUUUUCUAGUGGUUGGGGAUGAGCUCGCGGCCUAUCAGCUUGUUGGUGGGGUAAUGGCCUACCAAGGCGGCGACGGGUAGCCGGCCUGAGAGGGUGGACGGCCACAGUGGGACUGAGAUACGGCCCAGACUCCUACGGGCGGCAGCAGUGGGGAAUAUUGCACAAUGGGCGGAAGCCUGAUGCAGCGACGCCGCGUGGGGGAUGACGGCCUUCGGGUUGUAAACUCCUUUCGACCGCGAGGAAGCCACCUGGUUGGAAGGGUGGUGACGGUAGUGGUAGAAGAAGCACCGGCUAACUACGUG
rnacentral:rRNA from 1 species